rnacentral:lncRNA from 1 species
GAAGGAGUAGAUACCUGAAGCCAUCACCACCGCCGGAAUUUUGCCGGAUUCCCAAGGUUUUCACGAGACCCAUUCGCCUUCACGUUAGGGUUUGCUCUUUUCUACUCUUCGAGAGAUUUUUGCUUGCACCUGUUUUGUGUUUGUUUUAAGCUAGAUGACUAUUGAUGUUGGUAUGGGAUAUGUUUAAGAUUCCAAAAACUUGAUGUUGUAUUUAAGGUUUGUGGCUCCAUUAAAACUCGUGGGUAGGGAUGGGUCUGUAGUUCGUAAAUGUUCAUCCCAUUUUCGACUGAGGUAGAUGUUAGAAAUUUUUUGGUCUUAUAAUAUUUGAAGGUUGGUUUUUGUUUGAAGCCAUAGUUUUAGAGUUAAAGGAAGAAGGAAGUGUAUCGUUCCUUUUUAAUAUCAGCAAUUUCGACUGAGGUAGAUGUUAGAAAUUUUUUGGUCUUAUAAUAUUUGAAGGUUGGUUUUUGUUUGAAGCCAUAGUUUUAGAGUUAAAGGAAGAAGGAAGUGUAUCGUUCCUUUUUAAUAUCAGCAUCUAAGGGCAAUUCUUUUUAAAAAAUCACAUUUAUCCAUGGUAUGAAAGUGGAGUUUCCUAGCUUUAAUUUGUCAUUCACGAUGUGUAUUUAAAAGUUGCCAUUCAUUGAUGACGGUUGGGUGCAUGAAUGCCACCUCGAGCCCGUUGUCCGCAUUACUCCCACGUGUCCCACUAGCGGGAAGGCCAAGGGCCAUUCAUAAAGGCAAGCGCAGGACAACUGUACAGCUGUCUGUUGUUCUUAUUUUCGAAAUGAACAUAGGGGAUCCAGGUUUAGGGCCCAUUUCUUCUCUUGUUGAUCUUCGGAUUACCCCUUUGUGAGAUGAAUUUUGGGGCCUUAAGGCCCAUUACGAACUCUGGUUUGGUUGAGGCCCGCCGUUUUUUGGGUGUUUAUUUUGAGGACUUUAUUUUUUCUCAUUUCCCACAUAUUUGGAUUUAUAGCCUUUGAUAUGUGUAUUAUCUUCUAAAUACUUUAAUUAAAAUGACCAUGACUAAAUAAUAAUAAGUAGAAAUGUUCAUUAGCCCAGUUUCGAUUAUUAUUUUUUAUUCAUUCUUUAUCUCAUUAGGAUAUUACAAAUAAUGGAUUAAUUAUUAAUGUUAACAAAUAACUUACCUUGUUUCUAAAAUAAGUUUGACAUUGUUCCAAUCCCAAAUAAUCUUUCUCAAAACAUAUUAAUUCUAAUAAAUUCAAAUUCAAAGUACUUAAUUAUAAAUUCUAAAAGCUUUAUUUUAUAAAUUAAUUUUUUGGAUGAAAAGGAGAAUAGUAAGCAUCCGCUUCACUAUCUCUCGACUAUUCGAAUGAUUGGCGUUCGUCAUAUUGCUCGAAUUUUCGUCAUUCAAUUAAAACCCUAAAAAACUCCAUAAAAUUAAAAUCACUUCCCCAAAUUAAUUAUAAAUUUUAAAAGCAUUAUUUUAUUAAUUAAUCUUUGAAUGAAAAGGAGAAUAGUAUGUGUCCGCUUCAUUAUCUCUCGAUUAUCCGAAUAACUGGUGUUCGCCACAUUGCUCGAAUCCUCGUCAUUCAAAUUAAAAAUUCAAUCAUACAAUUUCAAAAUUAUGUUCCUAUAUCAAAUAUAACUUCUAAAAAAACAUUACUUUUAUAAAUUAAUAUUUCGAAUAAUAAAAGGAAGGGAGGCGUCCGCCUCACCAUCUCCCGAAUAAUUGAAUGAUUGGCGCUCACCAUAUUGCUCAAAUUAUCGAUUCCCGAUUAAUGCCGCAAUCUUAUAAACUUAAAUUAUUUUUCCAAACCAAUUAUAAUACCUAAAGAACAUUUCUUUUAUAAAUUAAAUGCCGGAUGAUAGAAGAUGGGAGGCGUUCGCCUCACUAUCUCUCGAAUGAUUAAAUAAUUGGCACUCGCCAUAUUGCUCAAAUUAUCGACUUCCGAUUAAAACACGCUAAAUAAACUUGGAUAAAGGAAUGAGUGGCACACGCCUUAUUGUUCCUUGAAUAAGCAAGUGGGAGGCGUACGCCUCAAUACCGCGUAUAUUCAAAUUCCGCAAACAAAUCUUCAAUAAUAAUUUCAACGAAAAAGGAAAUAAGAGGCGUUCGCCUUAUUAUUCCUCAAAAGAAUUGAACGAUUGGUGUGCACCACAUUGCUCAAUCUUUUGUCGUUCUUUAAAAUACCUAACAUACUAAACCUCAUUUCUCGCCCCCGUGUGAUCAAAAACCAAUCAAACAAAACAUCUAACAUAUUAGUUCAACUUGUCACCCCUAUGUGACCAAAACUCUUUUCAAAAAGAACAUUGUUUAAUCCUUUCUAAUGCGCGCAACAAACUAGUGCUUAAGCCUCCACCGAGAGUAGACAAGCCGAAGUUUAGCCUUUAGAACGCAAUCUACACAACCGUUCACUAAAAAACACCCAACCAACCGUAGUUCCCCGAACUACGAAUGCUCUGAUUUCCUUAUUGCACCAUAAGGAUACGUAGGCAGGAGAUUGAUGUAUCUUCGCGAGCACACUAAUAAAAACCUCCCCUUUUCCCCUUCUGAGGUUUCAACCCAUAUCUCUAUUCAAUAUUUUAAUCACUCGGAGAAAGCGAAUAACAUUCUACUAACAUUCACAUAGCAAAUCGAACUAAAAGGUUCCCGUUGAGUACAACGGGCGUGAGGGGUGCUAAUACCUUCCCCUUGCGUAAUCGACUCCUGAAUUCGAAUAUGGUUGCGACGACCAUUAUUCUAUUUUUCUAAAGGUUUUAUCGAUAUUUUCCUAUUCCUUCAUUGGAAUGAAUAAAGUUCGGUGGCGACUUUGUUCGAACUAAUUUUUCCGCAUCCAUCGCGAGGAAUCGUAUUUUUCAAGAUAUGAUAGAUGACGACUCUGCUGGGGAAUAUUAGCUCCAAGGUAGAGAGAGUCAAGCCUAACUCAGUUCAAUUUGUGAUGAAUGUUAAAUUACUAUUUUUCUUCAUUAUUUUCUUAUGUAUAUCUUGAUGUAUUAUUUAUGCUAUGUAACUUGUUCUGCUAUUAUAUUGGGUAAUUUAUGGUAUUUGGCACAUGUUGUGAGAUAAGCUCCGUACCCGAGCUUUGAGAAGAACUUAGAACCCGAAGUUGUGUAGUAUUGAACCGAGGGGUAUACACCUCGUUGGGACAAUACGAAGACUCCACCUAGAGUAGAUCUGUUCGGAAUUUCCAUCAUAAUAUGGCUAGCCCAUUAUUGCGAGGAAACUUUGAACAUGGUCCAUGACUCGAGGAACCUCAUCUUAAAUUGAAGUUCGUCUUCGUGAUUGGAGAUCGUGUAGUAUUGAACCGAACGGUCUACACCUUGUUCGAGCAAUACGAGGAUCCCACUUAGAGUAGAUUGAUUCAGAACUUCCAUUUCGAUGUGGCUAGCGCAUUAUUGCGAUGGAAGACUGAACUCGGUCCAUGACUCUAAGUUUUUGUCAUAAAAACAGGCAACCCUAGGAGAAAUCCUUUGUGUGUGGGGUAAAGGACAUAGAACCGUCGUAUAGGAUUGAACCUUGUGAAAUGUAUGAAACCCGGAUCCCUGUCAUUGCAUAAACAUCAUAUUGCAUUCAUUAUGAGCAUAACAAAAUCAUUUACGCACUUUCUAUUUUCAGGGAAUUUCAAAAUUUUCAAUUAAUUAAGCAUUCAAGAACAAAUGGAGCCAGGAAAGAGAAAAACAUUCCAGAUCAAAGCCAAAGUACCGUGUGUGAAGGGGUUCAUCGCAUUCAGAGAUGAGUUGACUAAUAUCCGUCAAGACGCAUUCACACUCAGAUAUGGGAAGAUUCUACACAUAUUGUUUGUACCAGUACAAAAGGACGCCAUUACCGCACUAGCCCAGUUUUAUG